rnacentral:misc_RNA from 1 species
AACGCAUAUUGCACUCUCUGGCAUUCCGGAGAGUAUGCCUGUUUCAGUAUCAGUAAAUACCCUCAAAAUUCCCUUCAAAAAUGUGUCAAAGCACACACAGGGGGGGAAAGUUUGGACUUGAGCAUAGUGCCGAGAAGAUUUCUUGGCUUGCUUGAAAUUCAGGUUCGCGCAAGGCAGGAAAUUUUUGUUUUCAGCAAAAACUCUCCGAGGAGAUAAAAAAUAUGCGGUAGUAGUUGACUUUACAGUCAUCUUUCCGCAUAAAUAAAAAGCCUUCUUGGGUGAGACUGCCCUGUGUGCGCAAGUUCGCAGGAAUCCCAGAAAUGAAAUUUCAUUUUUUUCGUUUCAUUUUCUUGAUCUGAAAUCAGGUAGGACUACCCGCUGAACUUAA